rnacentral:lncRNA from 1 species
GUUUUAACUAUUUCAGCUUUCUUUUGAAAAAGUGUAAUACUAUAUUUUUUCAUAAUAUAACAAAAUUUCUCAAAAUGUUCAAUAUUUUCAUUAUAUUAUUUGAAUGAAUAAGUAAAUAAUCUACAUAUGCAAUACAAAAAUGAGUAAUUGGUUUAAUUACCUCAUCCAUUAUUCUUUGGAAUAUCUGUGGUGCAUUUUUCAACCAAAAUGGCAUUACAUUCCAUUCGUAUUGUCCUAAAUGAUUGGGCGUACUAAAUGCAAUUAAUGGUUUACUUUCUUCUAUAAGCAUGAUUUGCCAAAAACCUGACUGACAAUCAAAUUUUGAGAAUAUCUUCUAAUUUUGUACUUGCUUAAUAAGGGUGUCCUUAUUUGGCAAGUAAUAUCCAUCGAAUUUGGUAACUUCAUUUAACUUUUUAUAAUUUAUCACUAUCCUGGCUUUUCCUCUUUUUAUCUCGCUAUGUUUUCUAACUAUAAAGGCUGGGUUGCUAUGUGGACUUUUACUAGGCCUAAUUAAUUUGGCUUCUGGUAAUUCUUUU